UAUAAGCAAUGUGGAGUCUCCACAGGCAAUAGGCACGGCAAUACAGUUCGCAAGACAUAGAUUUUAUCCUGUCGAGAUGCCCCGUAAGGAACACUGCGUUUUGACAUGCGCACUCUACUUUGUUUUAUAUUCACACAUACAUACUUACAAACAUAUGUAUGUAUAUACAUAUGUAUGGGCGAAGACGCAAGUGCAAAACCUAACAGAAAUAUUGUUGUCGGCGUUAUUUUGAUUAGAAGUGUUAUUGCGUUAGGUAAGCUUUGAGUCAGUUCAGUUUUCUUCCAAAAGUCAAGGCGGCUAUUACCAGCGAAUACAUACAUACUACAUCGAAUUUCAGUUCAGAUUCACAUUAGUUAUUAAAAAUAAAAUGCCAACCCAAAGGCGAAUUAGACGAAAAAGGAGUUCAACAGGUCGAAGAGAAGAGAGCCGUAGUCAUGCAGGAUCUAUGGCAAGUUAUUUCAAAGCUGCCCUAAACUCCGUAGUUCUUCCGGAGUAUAGUUCGCUUGGGGGUUUGUCUAAUAUAUGUUUACACUGUAAAGCAAAACAUUUCGGAAGUGAAAAGGUAAGAAAUGGCUUUACGACAUGUUGUCAUGGCGGAAAAGUUAAACUUCAAGAAUUACGUGUACCUGAGUUUUUGAAAGCUGUGUUAGAAAAUGAUUUGAGCUCUUGGCGGGGACACUAUUUGGAGAAUAUUCGGCAGCUAAAUAGUUCGUUUGCUUUUGCAUCAUUCAAAGCGAAAAUUGCGGGGCGUACAGGGCGCGGACCAUAUUGCUUUCGAAUACAUGGAUCAAUAUAUCAUAGGGUAGGUCCAUUGCAUGCAGAUCACCCUUCAGAAUCUUCCUACGCCCAGCUGUUUAUUGUUGACACGGAUCAAGCAACUGAUAUAAGGGCACAACAUAAUUCAAACUCCGACAGGUAUUUGCUGAGAGAAAUCCACGAAAUGCUUUCAAAUAUUAACCCCUUGGCAAAUGAGUAUAAGCAUAUGGCGCAGGUUGAACGCGAAGAGGAACAGAGGGCCAGAGAAGAAAAUCGUAAUGCUCGCCGAAUUAGCAUGCUUCUUUUUAACAGCACUGAUCGACGUUAUAAUUUGCCAAACUGCUCAGAAAUUGAGGCCGUUUUCACAACAGAAGAUGGUGAACCACCUGGAAAUCGAAAUUUGCGAGUAUUUUCACGGAAAUCUAAUAUGCAGAAUUUAUUAUUUGUCUCAACGCUACAUAGGUUGUGUGAUCCAUUAGUAUAUCCGCUUUUGUUUCCUUAUGGCGAGUCAGGAUAUGAUGAAACUCUUCUGCAUGAACAGGGUCAUCGUACGGAAUGUAGAUUUAAAUUAACCCAACUGCAGUUUGUUGCUUACCGUAUGGCGAUAAGAGAAGGUUUCAGCUUGCUUCAUGUGUCAGGUAAACUUUGGCAACAGUAUUUAGUUGACCAAUAUGUCAGAAUUGAAGGAGCACGUCUGGCAUUUCUGCGAACUCAUCAGAAAGAGCAUCGUGUUGAAACAUAUGCUGGUUUGCAUGACUACUUAAUGCGUGGUGCAAAUAUGGAAAGUGUUCGUCCUGGUCGUAUAGUUGUACUUCCUUCAAGUUUUGUUGGCUCUCCUCGAAAUAUGAACAUGCAUUACCAGUAUGCUAUGGCUAUGGUUAGAAAAUAUGGAAAACCGUCGCUUUUCAUAACUUUUACAUGCAACCCAAAAUGGCCAGAAGUCAUUCAGAAUAUUGAGAGAUACCAGGGACCGGAAAUGUGUCCAGAACUGAUAGCCCGGGUUUUUAAGCAGAAGCUCAAUGAGCUUAUGAAAUAUAUUUCCCGAGAGGAAUGUGUUUGGAAAGGUGAAAUACUACCUAAAUGUCAUUGAGUUUCAAAAACGGGGUCUACCACAUCCCCACAUCUUAGUAGCACUUCACGAAGAAGAUGUUAUUCGCGACCCUUCUGAAAUUGACCUGGUUGUUUGCGCUGAGAUUCCUAAUAAGGAGGCAGAGCCUGAGUUGUAUGAAAUAGUCUCAAAAUGUAUGAUUCAUGGCCCUUGUGGAUUACUUAAUCCAUCAUCGCCCUGCAUGACUGAUACGGGAAUUUGCUCCGAAAACUUUUCAUGCUAAUACGCUUUCAAACGUUAACGGCUAUCCUCAAUAUCGCCGCCGCAAUGAUGGAAAUAAAAUAGUUGUUCGUGCCAAUAAACAUUUAAUUGAAAUAGACAACCGAUGGAUAGUCCCAUACAACAAAUAUCUGACCAAAAAAUACAGUGCCUAUAUUAAUGUCGAAAUAUGUUCAUCGAUAAAAAGCGUAAAAUACCUCCACAAAUAUAUUUACAAAGGAUAUGAUUGCGCAACAGUUCAAAUUAUUGAACACCCAAUUGAUCGCGUGGAUAAUCAUGAUGAAAUAUCUACAUUUAAAGACGCUCGAUAUGUUAGUGCGCCUGAAGCCUGUUGGAGGCUUUUGGAAUUUUCAAUGCAAGAAAAGUCGCACAUGGUAAAAGCUCUAGCCGUUCACCUUCCAGACUCACAAAAUAUUUAUUUUCGUGAUGAUAAUGCUGCGAUUUCUGAUACCCUUGCUCGAUGCCGCGAUACCACUUUAACCGCAUAUUUUAAAUUGAAUGCGAUAGAUCCAUUUGCGAAUACUUUGUUGUAUUAUCAAAUUCCUGAGUACUAUACUUGGCAAUAUGCGUCGCGCUCAUGGCAAAGAAGAAAACGACCGAGUAAUGCAAUUGGUAGAAUGUAGACGGUCGAUCCAAAAAAUCGGGAACUCUUUGCUUUACGUUUAUUACUUACUUCGUUAAAAGGACCGAGGUCGUAUUCAGAUAUAUUAACCGUGAACAGGGAACAUCUCUCUUCUUAUUGGGAAUCAGCAGUAAAGAGAAAGUUGCUAGCGGAUGACACAGAGUGGACCGCUGCACUUGAAGAAGCAUCUGUCUUUAAAAUGCCUGUGCAACUGAGACGUAUGUUUGCAAUGAUUUGCAUAUUUGGAGAACCAACCUCACCAAUAGAGCUCUGGAGAAAAUUUAAAUUGCAUCUUUUUGAAGAUUUUUUAAGAAAUAAUUCAGAAAAUAUCAGCGAGCUUUUAGCAUUGAGAAAUAUUUGUCACAUUUUCCAAUCACAUAACACAUCUUUAAAAGACUUCGGGUUACCUGCAAAUGAUCUUACCAAUGAAGACACAGGAAUUGAGAAUUAUAAUAUAGAUGAUGAUGUAUUAUACGCGCAAACACUAAAGGAACAGCUUAAUCAUGAGCAAAAGAUUAUAUUCGACCAAAUAACCCAUGCAAUUUCCAGUACCAACGAUGUCGUAAAGGCAUUCUUUGUUGAUGGUCCUGGCGGCUAUAGCAAAACUUUUUUUUAUAAGAGUAUUAUUCACCAUAUUCGUAGCCUCAGACAGAAGGUGAUAUCCGUGGCUUGGACAGGGAUUGCCUCUAUUUUGCUUCCUGGCGGAAGAACGGCACAUAAUAUAUUUAAAUUUCCAAUACCUUUGAAUGAAUCUUCUGUUUCUCUAAUUAAGCCAGAUAGCACCCUCGGAAAAGCAAUCAAAUGUUCUACAGCAAUAAUAUGGGACGAAGCUAGCAUGGUUCCUGGGACUGCAUUACUAUGCUUAGAUCGAUUAUUACGUGAUAUUCACCAAAAUGAAAUACCUUUUGGUUGAAAGGUUAUUUUAUUAGGUGGUGAUUUCAGGCAAGUUCUUCCUGUGGUGCCCAAUAGCUCACGCGCCGCUAUAGUUGGUAAUUGUUUGAAACGGUGCUCAGAGCUCGAGGUCGAGAGCUCUCUCCAGAGUCGAAAAUCAAUAUACCAGAAGAGAUAAUUUUGCUAAAUGAAAAUUUAGUGGAUUGGGUAUUUCAGCCUCAGUCUGGUGUUAUUAGUCAAAACCAUCUGAAGGAUCGGGCAAUUUUGUGUCCAAAAAAUGAUCACUGUACGAUAAUAAAUAGCGAAAUAGUAAAUAUGUUGCCCGGGGAAGAAAGGGUAUAUUAUAGCGUGGAUACUGUCGUUUCUGAAGAUCCUCAAGAGCAUGUCAGAUUCCCUACAGAAUUUCUAAACUCCCAUAAUUUCAGUGGAGUAGCGCCUCGUGAGUUAAGGCUUAAGGUUGGAACAGUUGUGAUGUUAAUCCGCAAUCUUAAUACAUAUUGGUCAAUGGGACUCGCUUGAUAAUAAAAGCACUACAUUGUAAUUGUUUGGAGGUCGAAAUUUUAACCGGUGAAUCACAAGGGAAACAAAUUUUAUUGCCCCGUAUAAAUUUACAGCCCAGCGAAUCAACACUUCCUUUUAUUUUAAAGCGUCGCCAAUUUCCAAUAAUUGUAGCAUUCGCAAUAACAAUAAACCAAUCUCAAGGGCAGACUCUAGCAAGAGUUGGUGUUUUCCUCAAGGGGGAUUGUUUUACGCAUGGCCAGCUGUAUGUCGCAUUGAGUCGAGUACGAUCUUCUCAAGAUAUCAAAGUUAAGACUUACGACCAAAAUAAAACCACUACGAAUGUAGUUUUCCAUGAAGUACUUGAAUAAAUUGAGUUUUUAUAAAAAAAAAAUUUUUUACUUUUUUCAUUUUAAAUAACGGUGUCCCUCGAUUAUCGGGGGUUAUUACUAGUUGAUAUAAUUCAAAGGUUUCAAUCUAAAAUGCUUAGAACAACCACGGCUGCACCAUGGUCAAUGCGUAAUGAAAACAUUCAUAAAGAUCUUGAUAUUCCUAUGGUAAAGAAGGAGAUAGAGGACAGCAGAAUGAAGUAUAUUUCUAAAUUUCACGAACAUCCAAACCCAUUGGCUAAUGCCUUGGUAAAUUCUUGCAAUCAAACGCGUUUAAAACGAAGUGAUCUACCAGCCUACUAGAGAGCAACGUUCUACAAUAAACCACCUGAACCACAUUCUUGAGCUUCUUUAGUUUCAAAUAGUUUUAAGAUUGGAAUACUUAUUGUUAGGCUUAACCAAACAGAUUCAAUAAAUUAAGAAAUAUUGAAAAAAAAAACAUUUGCAAAGUUUCACCUCUUAUACAUACAUAUCCAUAUCUUACUUUGUUUUGAAUGGAAAAUUCUGUUAUAAGAGUAGCAAUAUUCAUCAUUUAUAAUAUUGGAAUCUUUUCAGAUCAAGAAAAAUCGAGUAAUUGGAAGAAGAGCUUUAAAUAUAUUUGAUGCAUUAUUUAAAUUUCAUGCAGUCACACAUGUUUCCUCGGUUAAUCUUACAACUUGCACUAACAGUCAUUGUACAAUUGCGAAAUUGCGAUCAAUUCAAUAACGGUAACAGAUUCAAAGACUAGUUCUAUAAGAGAAGGCUUAAAGUUGAUAGCGUAAAUAAAAAUUCGUGGAUCCUACGAAUGCCAUGCAACAAUUCGACAUACGCUGUGAGAUUUGAGUGAGUCUCAGUGUGAAAUACCAAAAAUGAAUAAGCAAGAGCAAACGCAUCGCAUAUUAGACAGUGCAGCUAGUAAUCUCAAUAAGAAAAUGCGAUUGGACUUCAUGUUAUUUAAAAAUUUAUGUUACAGCAUUUAGUGAAAGUGAAAAAAGUGUGCAGAGUGCGUUAAAAAGCAGUUUGGUUGAACCUGCUAUACAGAUAGGCAUAGCUGCGUAAUUCCUAAAUUAACUAUUUAUUUAUUUUCUUAUUGUUUCUUAUUGUUUUUUAUAUCCUUUUAGAUGACACUCAACACUACAAUUAUAAUUUGCUGAUAGAAAAUCUGAUGUAUGAAACAGUUCUAGAAAAUAUGCGACUGUUUGGCGAAUAAUAGCACAACAAGUGAAAAACGUAGAAUCGUGGCUCGUGUCAGCUGGCACGACCUAUCUUACGGGGCAUCUCGACAGGAUAAAAUCUAUGUCUUGCGAACUGUAUUGCCGUGCCUAUUGCCUGUGGAGACUCCACAUUGCUUAUAUCUUACAAUAUAUCGCAAACUAAUUCGUAUGCCAUAUAUCGUAAGCUAUAAGCUGUCACUUCAGCAGUUUGACAGCGCAGUUUUCAUUUCUAUGAAAAUUUCGAAGAUGCAACAUAUCCCACUUGCACAUAUGCCGACGGCAUUUUCAUUUCGGUAAUAUGAAAAUUAGAAGAGCGAGUAUUGAGACGGUUGUGUUAUAUUAUAAAAAUAAAGUACAUUUUUAAAAUAAUAUUUUUUCAAAAAAAUAUUAUUUAGUUUAAUAUUGUUAAUUUACAGAAAAAUUAUGCAAAUUGGUUUGGGAAUAAGCGAAAUCUUAAAUUUAAUAAACUUAUACUAGCGAAAAUCAAAAUAUCAUUGCUCAUUUUAAA